GACAGCAGUAGCCGCGGGAACACGUAGGUGGCAAGCGUUGUCCGGAAUUAUUGGGCGUAAAGGGCUCGCAGGCGGUUUCUUAAGUCUGAUGUGAAAGCCCCCGGCUCAACCGGGGAGGGUCAUUGGAAACUGGGAAACUUGAGUGCAGAAGAGGAGAGUGGAAUUCCACGUGUAGCGGUGAAAUGCGUAGAGAUGUGGAGGAACACCAGUGGCGAAGGCGACUCUCUGGUCUGUAACUGACGCUGAGGAGCGAAAGCGUGGGGAGCGAACAGGAUUAGAUACCCGAGUAGUCCCUGUCUCUUAUAC
rnacentral:rRNA from 1 species